rnacentral:rRNA from 1 species
UGGGGAAUUUUGGACAAUGGGCGAAAGCCUGAUCCAGCAAUGCCGCGUGUGUGAAGAAGGCCUUCGGGUUGUAAAGCACUUUUGUCCGGAAAGAAAUCCUUGGCUCUAAUACAGUCGGGGGAUGACGGUACCGGAAGAAUAAGCACCGGCUAACUACGUGCCAGCAGCCGCGGUAAUACGUAGGGUGCAAGCGUUAAUCGGAAUUACUGGGCGUAAAGCGUGCGCAGGCGGUUUGCUAAGACCGAUGUGAAAUCCCCGGGCUCAACCUGGGAACUGCAUUGGUGACUGGCAGGCUAGAGUAUGGCAGAGGGGGGUAGAAUUCCACGUGUGAGCAGUGAAAUGCGUAGAGAUGUGGAGGAAUACCGAUGGCGAAGGCAGCCCCUGGGCCAAUACUGACGCUCAUGCACGAAAGCGUGGGGGAGCAAACAGGAUU